rnacentral:tRNA from 1 species
GCCCGAGUGGCGGAAUUGGUAGACGCGCUGGAUUCAAAAUCCAGUUUCUUCGGAAGUGCCGGUUCGAUUCCGGCUUCGGGUA